rnacentral:lncRNA from 1 species
GUUUUCCUCAAAAGCAUUCUAAACUCUACCGAGACUGUAGCAAGAGGAAGGGUCCAGAGCUUGGACCCAAAUGAUCUAGUUGGUAGUACAGAGAUUGGACCAGAAUGGUGUGAGGUAAACGUUCAAGUACCAAUAAAAAAGGAUGAAAACUUGGUAAGACCAUAUGGUUUAUUUUCUACAAUUCAAGAUUGUAUUGGUGCAUCCAUCAUAUGGCCCUAUCCAUUCAUCUCGGUAGUCCAUGAGGAUUGAGGAUGCAUGAUAACUCAAGAUUUUAUGCUUCUUAUUUCUUUAAUUGCUUUUAAUUUCUUUGUUAAAUGUUAAGACUUUAUGUUAGAUAAUGUUAUAACUUAUUUAUGGUUAGUGUUUUUAUUAUGAACAUGCUUAUUUGAAAUAUAAUGAAGUUUUAUU